AUGGAGUUCACCAAGGAUGGCUCCGUUGACCUCCGCGGCCAACCGAUCGUCGCCUCCCGGACCGGCCAGUGGAAGGUGUGCUCCUUUUUACAAGGGUACGACGCGUUCAAGCGGAUGGAGUUAUUAUACGGGGUGGUGUCGAACCUGGUGGUGUACCUGACGCCAUAGAUGCGGCAGGAGAUGGUGUGGUCGGUGCACAGCGUCAACAACUGGACAGGGGCGGUGUGGAUGACGCCCAUCGUCGGAGCCUAUGUUGCUGACGCCUUCCUCGGCUGCUUCUGGACCUUCACCGUCGCCUCGCUCAUAUACCUCGUGGUCAGUAAAUCCAGCCAGAAAAUCAUCUCCUCUCCAGCCGAGUCCAGAAAAUUUAUUUAUAGGACGAACAUGGUUGCAGGGCAUGGUUAUGAUAAGCAUGGUCGUCUCCCUGAAGCCACUGCACCGCGGACAGUGACUGCGCCCCGGUGA
rnacentral:rRNA from 1 species